CUUAGGUGACAGCAGGAUGCGGCUGAGUCAGUGACCCCAGCGAAGGCCAAACGGAGCAGAAGAACCACCGGCUGAGACCUGCCCAAAUUUCUGACCUCCAGAAUUGACAAGAAGCCAGCUUUCAGAGAUUCUCCAGCCAUAACCAUCAUCAUCUGCUCAAUGCCCAACGUCUCUCUCCCAUGCUGCCUCCCUUUCUCUCACACACACAUAAAGUAAAUGAAAUAGUAAGUUCUCCCUGGCCUUCUCCAGCAGCCUAAUCUGGCAUCUGGGAUGCCUUAAACAUGUUCCUGGAUCAAUACCAUGUAGUUGUGUCCCAGGUCUACAAUACCAUGUAGAAACCUGUGUCCCGGGUCAUCUGUAAGAUCAUGAUUCGAAGGAUGGGUAAAUCAAUUCAGCAGGAAAUUGCUCUCCUUUCUGCCACAAAUAUCUCUCCUAGACAAUGGAUACUGGCUUCCCCUGAUCUUGUCACUCUAAAUCUGCUUCAGAGAUUUUGAUUGGAGAACAAAAGCCCAGGUGGGCGCUUGAGGAGCCACCUUCCCCUCCCCCAACAACCACCAUAAUGGUGCAAAGUUUAAGAAGAGUUCACUGGAAAACUCUGUUUAACCCGAUAGACUUUAAUUCCUUUUGGUAGCAGAUAAAUCAGGCCUGCCAUCAACAGACAGCUGAUCCUUACUCCCACCCACCACCCAGGAAAAUGCAUUUCUCUGCUCAGUAAGAAGGGAUAACCCAUCAGCAAGGUACCAGGUGUUCUUGAGGUGGGUUGUUUAGAAACCUUCCUCCUGGUGCUGCAGAAUUCUAACCCUGUUCAGGACUUUAUGUCCUCUGUUUAAGACUCAGAAUGUAUCUUCUUAUGGAUGAUGUGACCUGAAUAUCUGACAGGACAUUUUAGGGGGAUGGGCUGCAAUGGGGAACAGGGUACUGUCAUCACAGUAUCUUUGGAGCAAGAUCUAAGAUUAAAAUGUGGCUUCUCAUAAAAAAAAAAAAAAAAA
rnacentral:lncRNA from 1 species